rnacentral:rRNA from 1 species
AACAGGAUUAGAUACCCUGGUAGUCCAUGCCGUAAACGUUGGGCACUAGGUGUGGGGCUCAUUCCACGAGUUCCGUGCCGCAGCAAACGCAUUAAGUGCCCCGCCUGGGGAGUACGGUCGCAAGGCUAAAACUCAAAGGAAUUGACGGGGGCCCGCACAAGCGGCGGAGCAUGCGGAUUAAUUCGAUGCAACGCGAAGAACCUUACCAAGGCUUGACAUAUACCGAAAACUCAUGGAGACAUGGGGUCCGCAAGGGCGGUAUACAGGUGGUGCAUGGUUGUCGUCAGCUCGUGUCGUGAGAUGUUGGGUUAAGUCCCGCAACGAGCGCAACCCUCGUCCUAUGUUGCCAGCACAUCAUGGUGGGGACUCAUAGGAGACUGCCGGGGUCAACUCGGAGGAAGGUGGGGAUGACGUCAAAUCAUCAUGCCCCUUAUGUCUUGGGCUUCACGCAUGCUACAAUGGCCGGUACAAAGGGCUGCGAUACCGCAAGGUGGAGCGAAUCCCAAAAAGCCGGUCUCAGUUCGGAUUGGGGUCUGCAACUCGACCCCAUGAAGUCGGAGUCGCUAGUAAUCGCAGAUCAGCAACGCUGCGGUGAAUACGUUCCCGGGCCUUGUACACACCGCCCGUCAAGUCACGAAAGUCGGUAACACCCGAAGCCGGUGGCCCAACUCGCAAGAGGGGGAGCCGUCGAAGGUGGGACUGGCGAUUGGGACUAAGUCGUAACAAGGUAACC